GUGAUCUGAAGAAGGAAUUGAAGAGGCAACUCUUGCUUUCUGCCUGCUACUGUGUAGUGGCGGGCAAACAUGCAGCUAGCUACUCAACUUCCUGGCUCCCCCUCCCAGCCUCCUUUGCAUGGAGGGGUGUGCACCUUUGUCCAAUAGCUGCACAGAGGUCUGGCAGACAGGCUCGCAUGCAGGCUUGUUUUUAGAACCAGUGUGGCCACAAAAUGCCCUUUUGACACCGGGGGUUGGUGAUAUGUCUUUGGGGUUACCUGUUGCUAGGCAACUGCCAACUAAAGUUUGAGCUUGAUCUUGGGAUUGCAGUGAAUUGCCCUGGGUGACUUAUAUCUACAUUUAGGGACUUUGAUUUGCGGUAUUGGCCCAGGGAACAAGAGGCUGGGAAGACAUUCUUUUUUGUAGCCUGAGGUUUUUAAAAGUCCAGGCCAGUACCUGAUGCUUGGUUAGUAUAUACACAGAUGCUGAUUUUGGUGAUGAAAAUGGUCUUUCCUUCCUAGCUCUUUAAUAUUGGGGUGCACCUCUGCUCUCCAUCGUUCUGCCAGUCCUAAAAGCCUACCUACCCGUUUAUAUGUCAGGGACCCAGCUACAUGCAAGAGACAGUGAGGGAAACCAGAUCUCAACACUGUGGUUGGGUGUUCACACCACUCAGUGUUUGCUGGGCAUUUUCUGUUGACCUUUUUUGUGGCAGCCACAGACCUUUACAGAAAUCUCUGGAAAGCUGUGUCUCUGCUCUCUCGGAAUAGAUGUGUGAGCCUUUCUGGGGCUCACAGCCCUUGAUGAAUACAUCUGUGGAUACCCUUGGGUGACAGCCUCCGCAUGAGAGAUGUGGGUGAAUUUCUCUUCUACCUCAGCUCAGCUUCAUGAAGGCUGGGAUUAUAGGUGUGCACCACCACACCCGACUAAAAGGAUGCUCUGAAUCCCUGUGCGGAGGCAGCCCCCCCUUCAUCCUCUGACAUCUCAAUAAGCUUCUUAUGGCUGCUGUAGAUCAGUAGUUAAAUGGUCUUCUAGCCCCAGCCUACUUCCAGAUGCACUGUUUGCUUGAUCCCUCCAGACAGCUCAAGGGCUCCCUUUCCCCACUGUGACCUUUGAUGGCCCUCAGAGGGUGGUGCUGUCCACCAAGGGCCCUCAGUUCUGCACAUGCCUCUCCUCCUUCCAUCAUGGAGAUACUCUACUAUGGCUGGUUACAGUAAAAGGCUCUGGAAGGCAGUGACCGUGGCUGUGCUUUUUUGUCCCCAGGACCUCGCCUAGCUGUCACUUGGUGAAUAGCUGAGUGAAUGAAGCCGGGAGGCAGGCUUGGGGACCAGUUCUACAAGGAAGCCAUCGAGCACUGUCGGAGCUACAACUCGAGGCUGUGUGCGGAGCGGAGUGUGCGACUCCCCUUCUUGGACUCGCAGACUGGGGUGGCCCAGAACAACUGCUACAUCUGGAUGGAGAAGAGGCACAGAGGCCCAGGCCUUGCUCCGGGCCAGCUGUACACGUACCCUGCCCGCUGCUGGCGUAAGAAGCGACGAUUGCACCCACCAGAGGAUCCAAAGCUGCGACUCCUGGAAAUAAAACCUGAAGUAGAACUGCCCCUGAAGAAAGAUGGAUUUACCUCUGAGAGUACCACGCUGGAGGCCUUGCUUCGUGGUGAGGGAGUAGAGAAGAAGGUGGAUGUCAGAGAAGAGGAAAGCAUCCAGGAGAUACAGAGGGUUUUGGAAAAUGAUGAAAAUGUAGAAGAAGGGAACGAAGAGGAGGAUUUGGAAGAAGAUAUUCCCAAGCGCAAGAACAGGACCAGAGGACGGGCUCGUGGCUCUGCAGGCGGCAGGAGGAGGCAUGAUGCUGCCUCUCAGGAAGACCAUGACAAACCCUACGUCUGUGACAUCUGUGGCAAGCGCUACAAGAACCGGCCGGGACUCAGCUACCACUAUGCUCAUACUCACCUGGCCAGCGAGGAGGGAGAUGAAGCCCAAGACCAGGAGACCCGAUCCCCACCCAACCACAGAAAUGAGAACCAUAGACCCCAGAAAGGACCAGAUGGGACAGUCAUUCCUAAUAACUACUGUGACUUCUGCUUGGGGGGCUCUAACAUGAACAAGAAGAGUGGCAGGCCUGAAGAGCUGGUGUCCUGUGCAGACUGUGGACGCUCUGCUCAUUUGGGAGGAGAAGGCAGGAAGGAGAAGGAGGCAGCGUCCGCAGCACGUACCACGGAGGACUUAUUCGGUUCCACGUCAGAAAGUGACACCUCAACUUUCUACGGCUUUGAUGAGGACGAUUUGGAAGAGCCUCGCUCCUGUCGAGGAUGCCGCAGUGGCCGGGGUUCACCCACAGCAGAUAAAAAGGGCAGCUGCUGAGCGCAUGGGACAGACUGUCUGGCCGAUUAGCCGCCCCCUCCCCCAACUCUGGUCAUUGUUCUAGUUCUGAUAUAUAUUUUUAAAUGAAAGACAACUUGGGCAUUUCCCUUUAUCCUUGCCUUUUCCUUCUGCCUUCCACGUGUCCCUCCCCUCCUAGCAUCCUUCUAUUUUGGGUACCACAGAAGCACAAACUACUGAGAACCAGGGAAAAGGAGGAUGAGAGUCCUUUGGGGGAGUGAUGCCAUCAUGGUGGGCUCUUAUCCCUAGAAGUAGGAGAAAUUAAGUGGAUUUUCUUUCACUGGGGGAGGGCAUCUUUUUAACAUGAGCAGAGUUGAUUUCCUGUUUUCAAGAGAAGAGGAACAUGAGGUUUGAAAACAAAGAACAAAUAACAUUAACAAUAUUUAUUUAUAAAUAACUAUUAUUAGACUCAGAGAGGAGAGAGAGAGAGAGAGAGAGAGAGAGAGAGAGAGAGAGAGAGAGAGAGAAUGAAUGACCACUGGGUAUGUGUGUGUAUGGAGAAUUUCUUCAGUGGGAGUUGGUGACUCCACAGAGCAGACCCCUCCCCACGUCUCCUCCAUGACCUUUCCAUCUUCCUGCUUGUGUGAAAAUGGCAACCAUCCCAGAGAAGCCCGAGGCUACUUACAUCUGGCCUCCCUCCAGUGCUGGCCCAGAGCAACAGUGUCCGUUUCCCUCGGGCCCCUUUCCUCUUUCCUUGUUGCUGGGUUUCCCUCAUUUUCCUCCUGGCAAAGACCAGCUUCCGAAACACAGAAUGGAAUGUCAGCAAAUCACAGGCUCAGCUCUGACGGAGCAACUGAGGCCGGCGCUCCUGGAAGGAAGAGUGAUACUACACAGUGUAUCGCCCCUCCCUUCGCCCCGUGUAAGAACAUGUAACCGCUCACUGGAUGAUGACGUCUUCCAUAUUUCUUCUACUUUUUAUAGUGCCUGCCAGGCACUUUGUUUUAUCUUUCCAAUAGCAUCUCCUGAAAUAAACCAAAGCAGCACUUGGUCCGAGGCCUCAGGGAUAGAGAAGACUGUCCACCUCAUUGACAGUCCCUGAGAACAGAACAGCUGCGAGGCCCUGCUUAAACAGUCAGCUCUAUGAGCCAGGAACUGCAAAUCCUUCAAGCAAGCCAUUCCUGAAGAAGGUGAAGAGAAUCCAGAUGAUGAGCCUCUCCUCCUCCUCCUGCUCCGAUUCCUCUCUUGCCCAGCCCUUCUUGAGUGUGGAUCUUAACUAAUGCCAGAGUCGACAGGGAUGGAUCAGAUGGAAAGGCCUCCAGCUUCUCUCAGCUCAGCUCAGCCAAGUUUUGGAAAUGGCUCAAGUUUGUACAAUAAGAAGAUUUUAAUUUUCUAUUUUUCCCUUUUAAAUUCUUCAUUGCCUUUGUUUGGAAUGCCUGUGAGAAAGUACUCAGCCCAGGCUGGCAUUCGCUCUGCAAUACAAAUAACAACACAAACUGACAAAGACACAAAAAGCAAACUAUUUUAUUUAUUUCAAUAUUUAAAAGAAAAAGUGCUGCCAUUGCACAGUCUCUUGGUUUAAAAUACCGUCUACUUCAAAGGUUAAAAAAAAAAAAAAAAAGCAGUUUUGUGAAGACCUGAAUGAGAGUGCUUAGUGUAAAAUAAAGACGUCAUGGUGAUGUUAAAGAAAAGUAAAGACCCCACAUUUUUAAUAAGAAAAUAAAGAUCAACUCUGCUCUCUCAUGUUUUUGAGAAAGCCAUUCGUGUAUGUGCUUUAGGUAUUUUUUUUUUUUUUUAAAUUUUCUGCAAGUUGGAUGUGGUAGGUGAGGAGUGGUCAGUUCUUCUAAAGUCACUGAAAAGUAUUGUUGACAUUAAGUAAUUAUGUGUUAGGAUCUGAUGGAGAUAAAUUGGCCCCAAACCAGCAUUAUGUCCCCCUCCCAGCUGCCCCUCCCCUGAUAUGAACCCCAUUGAUCAGGAUGUAAAGCUACCUCCUCUUUAGCUCCUCUCCUGAGGCCUGAUUCAGGAAGGAAUUCUAUCCACUGAUUGAACGAGUUACUGCAAAGUUCAACAGCUCCAAACAGAAAUGUUUUGGUGAAAUGAACAAUGAACAAACACAUAACAGGAAUAAGCAGUGGCUGAAGGGACAUGGCUUAGUUAGCUAACAGCUGCUGGACUUGGCCAGGAGAACGCUCCGGAGAAGAUUUCAGAGGUCUGAGGGCCUAAAGUUGCUCCAUGACUGAGGAGUCAUUGGAAGGAUAGAAACUUGAAACUCAAGUCAUUUGUAGAGAGAAAUAGGAAGGUGAGCAUCACUAUGUGUGUCCUUUAUGGCUGUUAUGGCCAAUGAAGUGGAAUUCGGCAUUGUAUGCUUGACCUAGCCUAGGAGAUCAGCUGACUGUCUAGGCCACUGGGUUCUACCUCUUGGCUUCCACUUAGCUUGUCUAUUACGUGUCCAGAGCAGAGUCAUGGAUGGCAUGACUUAAGGCUUCAAAGCCUCGUCAGCAAAAGUCCUUGAGCCACAGUAUUAUUGAAGUGUCCAAGCCUGAGAAUAAAUCUCAUCUGCCAUUGAAAAAGGAAGGGUAGACAGGGAGACUUUCCAUUAAACCCUCCAGGUUUCCCAUUCAAGAGAAGGUGGACGUCACCAAGAAAGUCUUUCUAUCAUUUUCUGAUAGAAAAUGUCCCUUGUCAAAAAUGUUAAUUAUAAUAAUAAUCUGUUCUCCAACCCAUACUCACAAGUUAUGACAUGUCAAAUUGUGAUAAAGCUUUGCAAUCAUGUAGGGUUUGUGUGAAGUUUGUGUAAGUUUCUGUUAAAUAAAAGACUGUUUCCAAAGGUC